AGAGUUUGAUCAUGGCUCAGAUUGAACGCUGGCGGCAGGCCUAACACAUGCAAGUCGAGCGGUAACAUUUCUAGCUUGCUAGAAGAUGACGAGCGGCGGACGGGUGAGUAAUGCCUGGGAAUAUGCCUUGAUGUGGGGGAUAACCAUUGGAAACGAUGGCUAAUACCGCAUAAUGUCUUCGGACCAAAGAGGGGGACCUUCGGGCCUCUCGCGUCAAGAUUAGCCCAGGUGGGAUUAGCUAGUAGGUGAGGUAAUGGCUCACCUAGGCGACGAUCUCUAGCUGGUCUGAGAGGAUAAUCAGCCACACUGGAACUGAGACACGGUCCAGACUCCUACGGGAGGCAGCAGUGGGGAAUAUUGCACAAUGGGCGCAAGCCUGAUGCAGCCAUGCCGCGUGUGUGAAGAAGGCCUUCGGGUUGUAAAGCACUUUCAGUCGUGAGGAAGGCAGUUGCGUUAAUAGCGUAAUUGUUUGACGUUAGCGACAGAAGAAGCACCGGCUAACUCCGUGCCAGCAGCCGCGGUAAUACGGAGGGUGCGAGCGUUAAUCGGAAUUACUGGGCGUAAAGCGCAUGCAGGUGGUUAGUUAAGUCAGAUGUGAAAGCCCGGGGCUCAACCUCGGAAUUGCAUUUGAAACUGGCUAGCUAGAGUACUGUAGAGGGGGGUAGAAUUUCAGGUGUAGCGGUGAAAUG
rnacentral:rRNA from 1 species